UACGUAGGGGGCUAGCGUUGCCCGGAAUCAUUGGGCGUAAAGCGCGUGUAGGCGGUCCGGUAAGUCCGCUGUGAAAGUCGGGGGCUCAACCCUCGAAUGCCGGUGGAUACUGUCGGGCUAGAGUGCGGAAGGGGCGAGUGGAAUUCCUGGUGUAGCGGUGAAAUGCGCAGAUAUCAGGAGGAACACCAAUUGCGAAGGCAGCUCGCUGGGACGUAACUGACGCUGAGACGCGAAAGCGUGGGGAGCAAACGGG
rnacentral:rRNA from 1 species